rnacentral:rRNA from 1 species
CCUACGGGAGGCAGCAGUAGGGAAUAUUGGGCAAUGGGCGAAAGCCUGACCCAGCCACGCCGCGUGCAGGAAGACGGCCCUCUGGGUUGUAAACUGCUUUUAACUGGGAAGAAAGCAGCCCUUGCGAGGGAAUUUGACGGUACCAGUUGAAUAAGCCACGGCUAACUACGUGCCAGCAGCCGCGGUAAUACGUAGGUGGCAAGCGUUAUCCGGAUUUAUUGGGUUUAAAGGGAGCGUAGGCGGCUUAAUAAGUCAGUGGUUAAAGGUAGCAGCUUAACUGUUUUACAUGCCACUGAUACUGUUGAGCUUGAGUUGACAGAAGGCAGAUAGAAUUUCUGGUGUAGCGGUGAAAUGCUUAGAUACCAGAAGGAAUACCGAUUGCGAAGGCAGUCUGCUGCAGUCACACUGACGCUGAGGCUCGAAGGUGCGGGGAUCAAACAGGAUUAGAUACCCUGGUAGUCCGCACAGUAAACGAUGAUUACUAGAUGUUGGCGAGAGCAGUGUCGACGGAACCGGAAGUAAGUAAUACACCGUCGGGUAGGUACGCCGGCGACGGUACGAAACGUUAAACGGUAAAGUUAGUACGGACGUGAGACGUGCCGACGGACGACGACGACGGGAGGUUAGGG